rnacentral:lncRNA from 1 species
GCAGGACUUUAUGGGGGAUGCCUUGAGUUUUGUUUUCCUACAAAAUGGAAGCAGCAGCACAGGGGCACUGGCCUAAGAUGUGGUUCAAUCCCUGCUCAUCCUCACCCAAAUCAGAGAAAUGAACCUAAUACCCCCUAUCCCAGAUGGGUGCUGUUAUCUCCAGGCGUAAAGUCAGACUUUUUCUCCCUGAAUAACUGCUUAAUUAUUUAUACAAAUUGGCCCGGCUGCACCCAGAAGAGAUUUAAAGAAAUGGGACUGCCAUCACCUGUGGAACCAGGCCUUCUCCUGGGAUGCAAGAGGCCAUGUCCCUGCAAAAGGUCUCUCCUGGGGUGGGGACCACCAUGGAUGGGUGCCAUCACCCACCAGUGAGGACCUGUUGGGGGAUGAUUUUUCCCUCUGUUGGCGUGCCUAGAAAUCCAAGCUUGAGCCCAGGCAACCCUUUCCAAGCAGCACUUCGUGGAAACUGGUAGUUUGCUACCAAAAAGAGGAAAAAAAAAAAAAAAAAAAAAAGUUUUGGUUUUGCCAAACUGACAUUUUCUGACACAAGAAAACAUCUUGUUAAAAAAAAAACUUCCCAACCACUCUGCUGGGAAUGUGCUCUUUGCCAUCAGUCCCCAAGGCUGGAGCGCCGGGGUGUUGAAAUGUUACUACAGCCCUGGAAACUGUGAGUCAGCUUGUCCCCACCCACAGCAGAUACUCGUGGGAAGGGCCUUGAAAAGCCUGGAAACUCAGCAGCUCUUGCCUUGUGGAGUUUCCAUUAACCCAUUAACAUUAAUUUCAGGUCCGGUGAAAUGCAGGAUUUGGUGAAUUUCUAUUGGAUUUUGGUCCCUCUCCCCCCAGCCCUGUCCCCGUCCCUGCUGUCCCCUUCCCGACUCUGAUAAAUUUUGGAGGUUAUUUGAUUUCAACUUGUCUCUGAGCAAUUUGGCUGCCGUGGCCCCAGUUCACCCCCCCGGGGCCCUGUGGGACCCACUGGAUCUGGGCAUCACCCGCCGCGGUGCCCCCAGGUCUGGUGAGGAUUGGGAUGGGGCCACCGGAUGGCAAAAAACUUUCAUCCCACUUGGAGAAAAGGAGCUGAAGUGGAUGGCACUUUGGGUGAAACCAGGACUUCUCCACCACAUACCUGUGCCCCCGGAGACGGUCGGGUCCCCUGAAAGCUCCAUUGUUCUUCCUGCCCUAUUGCACGCACGGUGAUUAUAUAGCCUUGGAUAAGCAGUAAUACGUUGCUUGCUGAAAUAAUAACCUAUCCUCAGUUUAAACAGUGCUAUAUUUAAGAUUUAUAUAUAUUUAAAUGUCGGUAGUAUGUGACAUAUUAUCAUUUGGAUGACAGUUUGUAAAUAAGAUAUUGGAAAGAAAAGCAUCAGCUGCAUUUAGGGAGGUAAAUCUUGGGGUCAGGCAGGACGGCCGGAUCCAUGUGGAUUUUAAAGAAGCCUCAGAACCUCUUGGGGUUGGGGAUGGGCAAGGACCCUGCCUGGGUCCGAGAUCCAGGAAACCCCGAUUACUGCUUCCAUGUCUGAAGGUCAAUCUUUUUUUGUAGCCCUUUUAACUUGUCUUUAUUCCCUAACAUGAAAAAAAGGGCUAACAGCAUUUUCCUACCACAGUGGGAUGUUGGCCGACCGUUGUAAAUAGCUCUAAACCAAGACACAGGUGUAAAAGCUCUGCAGGUCAGCGUGGCCAUCACGGGUCAGCGUUAGUCCCACCCAAAGUGGGUCUCAGCACUCAAAUCUGCUUUUACUCCCCAGUUUGGUUUCUACGCAGGGAGGGAGCUGAUGAGAGGAG